AAACAUUGUCUCUACAUAGAAGAUUUUUGUAAGACUCCCGUAUGAUGUUCCUAGAAGAAUGACAUAGUAAUCUGAGUGUGGGUGAGCUAGUGGCAUCCCGCCAAAUGAAGAGUAAACCAUGGGGGCCAUACCAACUGCAUUAAAUAUCUUCAUUUGCUUUCAUCUGCUUCCAGAACUACUCCCACGCAAAUAUUUAAGACUAACAAUUGAAUUCCAUUCAAUUUUCCGGAAUUGUAAAUUCA
rnacentral:misc_RNA from 1 species